UCAAUAUGGAAGUAGUGAAAAAUUGUAGACCGAAACGCUUGGAGUUUAUCUUCAUCAUGUGACUGUCUGUUGUCACUGUCAGGAUAUUGGUCUAGAGAAAGCUGUCGAAGUUAAAAAGCAGAAUUUCUCUGUGGAUUUCGAAGAUUAUAUAAAUUGAAGAUGACAGAAAACAUGAGCUCAUCAAAGACAUUAUUGAAAAACCAUAUUCGCCAUGCAACAAGUCAUAAUAAGAUAGUUGAAGAAUCUCUAAUGUGGAGGCAGUAUGAGAUGAUGAAUGCUGAAAAAUGUCAAGAAACUUCAAGGAAGUCAAAAUACUCAAAGGACGAACCCCAUAAACAAGAGAGACAAAAAAGUUCUAGAGACAGAUUUUCUACACCAAGUGAAAGAAGUUCAUCAUUAGAUCAAUCCAAGCCCUCAUUUUACUGGACAAAAGAGUUACAGAGAGCAAAGGAAGCCAUUCCAGACAGGUAUAUACUGUAAAUAAGGAU